UGGGCCUUGCCAGCAUUUUAUACCCUUGCUACAAGGAGACAAAACAAGGGUUCAAGGGAACGACAGAGGAUAUUGACGCCCUUCCUUGAAAUAAAUUGGAACCCAAACUAAGCUGCCAUCUUUGUCUCGGGCAAUUCGGAGUUCGCCUCGCAUUUCCAGGUGAAGAACGCGGUUCAGAAGGAAACAUUGAAAUGAAAUGCAUACACUCAGCGCUUACCACCUCAAAAAACAAACAAACAAAACGGUAAAAGAGAAACGGCUCCAGGUAAAUUUGGCUAAUUUACUUGGUUGAAUUGACAAUCGCUGAUAAAGUUAAACUGCGCAGGAGGAGGACACCUAGCUAAAAGAUGCAGGUGUGCAAGCCCCGCUGAGAUUCUGCCAAGAUGUGAGCUUUAGCAAGAGAAGAUGAAAAGUUAAUUAAUGCAACCUGGAUAUACAGAGCAUUGGACGACGUUUUGAAAACACCUGGAAGUAACGUCACACAAAUGCUAGCUUUAAUGGCUUUCCUUGGCCACAAUGUAAUGUGCACAAUUAUUACGCCAAGGAGACUUUUCUAAAGGGGAAAAGCCACGCAGCUGGGAAAAAAGCUUCCAUCGCCUUGGAAAAGGGCGCUAGCUUUACAGCAGCACACUGGGAUAGGGAAAACAUAUUUUGGAUGAAUAACAUUAACUGUUAUGUGUCUAGAACCAAGACACAGUGAACACAUGGCGUCUUCUCCACCUAUUAAAGGAACUAUGACAGAACUUGAGGUGAACUUCAUUAGACAUCCACAUUACGCCUGGUGGCAACUUGGGAAUUUGAAUUUUGGACAGAGAUGGAGUUCGCUAUGGACUGGAUGAAUGGUGACCUCAAAAGAUGGAAUUAUGUACUGGAGGGGACAUUCGACACACUUAGGAGACAUUGUCUGUCUACAAAAGUAAUGACUGCAGUCGACGGGGGGAUUCUCAGCCAGUGAACGCCUUAUUAUUUGAUUAUUUGAGACUGCUCUUAAAAGUGUAGAGUCUUGGUGACGCUUAAUUAAGUGGCUCUGAUGGUGUGGAGCCAUCACACGCGAUUGAAGGACAGGGAAGAACUGAAAACAAAUUAAGCCCUUUUGGGAUGAUGUUUCUGGCACAGCAUGUGGACUAGAAUUGAGACGUGUUUUGCCCCUUCUGUUCUACCUCUACCUAAUCUCAAAUGAAGACUGCUUAUCACGUUGACGUAUUGUAAAAGGAAAGAUGUCACUAAUUGAACAAAAAUAAAGCCUUGUGGUUAAAUUCUGA